UACGUAGGGGGCGAGCGUUGUCCGGAUUCAUUGGGCGUAAAGAGCUCGUAGGCGGUCUGUCGCGUCGGCUGUGAAAACCCGGGGCUCAACCCCGGGCCUGCAGUCGAUACGGGCAGACUAGAGUGCGGUAGGGGAGACUGGAAUUCCUGGUGUAGCGGUGAAAUGCGCAGAUAUCAGGAGGAACACCGGUGGCGAAGGCGGGUCUCUGGGCCGUAACUGACGCUGAGGAGCGAAAGCGUGGGGAGCGAACAGG
rnacentral:rRNA from 1 species